UCAACAGAGGAUUACAAAAAUCAGACUAAAGUCUAAUUACAAAAAUAAAAGUGAGACCAAAGUCCAUACAAAAAAAAAGAAAAAAAAUGAAGACCUAUCUACACCCACUGCUGCUCGAUCUCCUCAACUAUCGCUUCAAUCUCUUGGACCACAAUUGCUACCAGUUCUAUUUUGAUCGGUGUAGGUGCAACUUCCUCAAUUGGAGCAAUCAAUUCAUCAGUUGGCUCUACUUCUAUCGCUCUCUCUACAG
rnacentral:lncRNA from 1 species